UUAUGGGGCAGGAGCACUUAGGGGGCAGGGGCACUUAUGGGGCAGGAGCACUUAUGGGGCGGGGGCACUUAUGGGGCAGGGACACAUCACUAUGGGGCAGGAGCACUUAUGGGGCGGGGGCACUUAUGGGGCAGGAACUCACCCAGGGAGUGGCGGGAGACAUCGGGGACGUUCUCAUAUUGCUCGGGGGGGGUGGCUGUGGGGCAAUCAGUGGGGUCAGUGGGAUCUAUGGGGUCAGUGGGGUGUAUGGGUGGGAUCUAUGGGGUCAGUGGGGUGUAUGGGGUCAGUCAGUGGGGUCAGUGGGAUCUGUGGGGUCAGUGGGGCAAUCAGUGGGGUCAGUGGGAUCUAUGGGGUCAGUGGGGUGUAUGGGGUCAGUCAAUGGGGUCAGUGGGGUGUAUGGGGUCAGUCAGUGGGGUCAGUGGGUGGGGUCAGUGGGGUGUAUGGGGUCAAUCAAUGGGGUCAAUCAGUGGGGUCAGUGGGGUGUAUGGGGUCAGUCAAUGGGGUCAGUGGGGUGUAUGGGUGUGAUCUAUGGGGUCAGUGGGGUGUAUGGGGUCAAUCAAUGGGGUCAGUCAGUGGGGUCAGUGGGAUCUAUGGGGUCAGUGGGAUCUAUGGGGUCAGUCAAUGGGGUCAGUGGGGUGUAUGGGGUCAAUCAGUGGGGUCAGUGGGAUCUAUGGGGUCAGUGGGGCAAUCAGUGGGGUCAGUGGGGUGUAUGGGGUCAGUCAGUGGGGUCAGUGGGGCAAUCAGUGGGGUGUAUGGGGUCAGUGGGGUCUAUGGGGCCAAUCAAUGGGGUCAGUGGGUUUUAUGGGGUCAAUCAGUGGGGUCAGUGGGAUCUAUGGGGUCAGUCAGUGGGGUCAGUGGGAUCUAUGGGGUGAGUGGGUGGGGUCAGUGGGGUGUACGGGGUCAAUCAAUGGGGUCAGUCAGUGCGGUCAGUGUGAUCUAUGGGGU
rnacentral:lncRNA from 1 species